CACGUGACGUCACGCUCUCCAGACCCGCGUCCGCUCCGCCAUGAUGGAAUGCGCUCCUUCAAAGCUCGUCUAAAAACAGAUGUCUGUCACCUGAUGUCGAUUUUAUUAAGUUGAUUUCACUUCAGAAAUUGUCACAGGGCUCCAUAUGAUUAGAAAAUUUUCAAAUGUCGCAUUACGGAGAAGCCCACCUGUGGGUCGUUGAGACCCCUGGAGUCAGAAUCAGACGUGUCUCUGUACUGAGACGAAGCCAUUUCGACGUCCGUUGAAGCUCUGCUUCUCUUCUUCAGCGGUUUGCACGCAUCCGAGAUUUCACUGGCUCCUUCGGGAGGAUGGCAUGGAUUUCAUAGUGAAACAUCACCUGUUCUUUUUUGGUUUUCUUCUUCGGGAUGGGAUCGGUGCCUCUCUCUGACUCAGAUCUACUCCGGACUGAUCGACGCUGAGGUUUUCUCUCCUGAGAACCUGAAAGCAACAAGCUUUUUACAGAAGAGCAAACAAACAUGGCUGAUGCUGUGAUUCGUUUCCUCGCCUUGCGGACUGCUGCUGGGCGAUCCAGGUUUGGCUCUGCUGUCCUGCUGGAGGAAACACUCAGAUCAGACCUCGCAGGUCGGCGCCACUAUCCUUCCGUCCAUUUGCACCUAGUUAGACCUACGUCAGGGUUUGUGGCUUUGCGCAGCGUCUCUGCCUGGAGCUCGUCGAACUGCUGCUUCCCCUGGUACGUGACUAUCCUCUUCUCGUGGAUCCACGCUCGCUCAGCGACGCUGCCAAAGAACUGGACGUGAUACUCCCUAUGUCCUGUUAUCAAGAGGAGUCACAAGAGAAAUUUGGUCAACAGUCUUGCGAUUAGAGGUGUACCAAUAUCGGCUGAUACUUAAAUGUGAAGCCAAUCUAAUCCAUCUACCUCAGCAAAUGUCUUAAAAAAUGAAAAUAAAAAAUUUACUACUGUCCUCUUCUGCUCUCCCAAAGGAGAAGUUUGACCAGCAGACCGGCCCACAGGUCACAUCUGCACAUUUGCAGCUAACAAUAGUGAAUAGCUCACCCACUUUCUUGUUGUAUUUUGCAACAUUUAAGACAAAAAAUCUGAAUCGGCAGGUGAUGCUUUUCAAAGAUCGGUGCAGUCGUACUUAACGGCUCUUACCUCUGGUGUUGAUGCGAGUGUGGACCUUCAUCUGUGGGUCGGAGGAGACCAUGCAGGGC